ensembl:lncRNA
CUUGCAGUGUGCAGAGCCAUUGGACCUGACAGUGGGUGGCACAGUGGAUUUGUAAAGAAUCAACGCUGCACCUAUGAAUAUGACUGGAGAGAGUAUCAGGCCAAUAGUUAUGAGGUGCUGGUUGAUCCGUGUGGAGGACGUGGUUGGAAAUGGAUGGAAGGGGCACAUUGGAACAUGGUCUCAUAUGAUGAAUCAAAAAGGUUUCCUGGAGUCAAAUACUACGUGUGUAGUGCGACACGUGAUGGCCUUGUAGGGAAGCUUUUCAACACGAGACAAGGCUUUCUUUGCCAUAUUGCCAGGUACAGAGAUACCAGGGAUGGAAGUUUCUAUGCUUUGGUUCCACAACCAUGUACCUGAAGAACGAUACAUGGUUGUGAUUCACUGUUCAGUGCUCAAGUUUCUCUAGUUCAUUUUUCAAGCUUUAAAUUGGUAAAGGUGCUGUAUUUAUCUUUCGCAAGACAUACUAGAUCUUAAUGCAUAGAAGUUCCUAACUCUCGCAAAACAUUUAAGAAAGUGGCACAAACACAUAUUGUUAUUGUUAGUCUUUUUAUUCAGUUAUUUUGCAUUGGGAUCUUUUUAGGAUUAAAAAGAGUUCCAAAACAUAUUGGCUAUUAAUAUUUGAUGAAAGUGAACUAAUGGAGUACAGUACAUUCCCACCUACAGGAUAUGCUAUGUACAUCUGCAGUAAAACCCAAUGUUUUCUGCACAGUCAAUAUAUUAUGAACUCCGUGCCAUAAUGUCCUUUGCUGCCAUCAUGAUGUAAAAUUUGAAAGUGUG